rnacentral:rRNA from 1 species
AACGAACGCUGGUGGCAGGCUUAACACAUGCAAGUCGAACGCCCCGCAAGGGGAGUGGCAGACGGGUGAGUAACGCGUGGGAACGUACCUUUCAGUUCGGAAUAACUCAGGGAAACUUGUGCUAAUACCGGAUACGCCCGUAAGGGGAAAGAUUUAUCGCUGAAAGAUCGGCCCGCGUUGGAUUAGCUAGUUGGUGGGGUAAUGGCCUACCAAGGCGACGAUCCAUAGCUGGUCUGAGAGGAUGAUCAGCCACACUGGGACUGAGACACGGCCCAGACUCCUACGGGAGGCAGCAGUGGGGUAUAUUGGACAAUGGGCGAAAGCCUGAUCCAGCCAUGCCGCGUGAGUGAUGAAGGCCCUAGGGUUGUAAAGCUCUUUCACCGAUGAAGAUAAUGACGGUAGUCGGAGAAGAAGCCCCGGCUAACUUCGUGCCAGCCGCCGCCGUAA